UACGUAGGUUGCAAGCGUUAAUCGGAAUUACUGGGCGUAAAGCGUGCGCAGGCGGUUCGCUAAGACAGAUGUGAAAUCCCCGGGCUUAACCUGGGAACUGCAUUUGUGACUGGCGGGCUAGAGUAUGGCAGAGGGGGGUAGAAUUCCACGUGUAGCAGUGAAAUGCGUAGAGAUGUGGAGGAAUACCGAUGGCGAAGGCAGCCCCCUGGGCCAAUACUGACGCUCAUGCACGAAAGCGUGGGGAGCGAACAGG
rnacentral:rRNA from 1 species